CGGAGGGUGCAAGCGUUAUCCGGAUUCACUGGGUUUAAAGGGUGCGUAGGUGGGUUGGUAAGUCAGUGGUGAAAUCCCCCGAGCUUAAACUUGGGAACUGCCAUUGAUACUAUCAGUCUUGAAUACCGUGGAGGUCAGCGGAAUAUGUCAUGUAGCGGUGAAAUCCUUAGAUGUGACAUAGAACACCAAUUGCGAAGGCAGCUGACUACACGAAUAUUGACACUGAGGCACGAAAGCGUGGGGAUCAAUCAGGAUUAGAUACCCUGGUAGUCCACGCCCUAAACUAUGGAUACUCGACAUACGCGAUACACUGUGUGUGUCUGAGCGAAAGCAUUAAGUAUCCCACCUGGGAAGUACGAUCGCAAGAUUG
rnacentral:rRNA from 1 species